rnacentral:rRNA from 1 species
CUACGGGCGGCUGCAGUGAGGAAUAUUGCACAAUGGGGGGAACCCUGAUGCAGCAACGCCGCGUGGAGGAUGACGCAUUUCGGUGUGUAAACUCCUUUUAUAUGUCAAGAAAAUGACGGUAGCAUAUGAAUAAGCGCCGGCUAACUCCGUGCCAGCAGCCGCGGUAAUACGGAGGGCGCAAGCGUUACUCGGAAUCACUGGCGUAAAGGACGCGUAGGCGGGUUGAAAAGUCAGGUGUGAAAGCCUACAGCUUAACUGUAGAACUGCACUUGAAACUCUCAAUCUAGAGUAUGGGAGGGGCAGAUGGAAUUAGUGGUGUAGGGGUAAAAUCCGUAGAUAUCACUAGGAAUACCUAAAGCGAAGGCGAUCUGCUGGAACAUUACUGACGCUAAGGCGUGAAAGCGUGGGGAGCAAACAGGAUUAGAUACCCUGGUAGUC